rnacentral:rRNA from 1 species
AGGAUCAUUACUGAAAAACUUCUUAGUUUUUUAACCCAUCCCAUUUGUUUAAUUUACCCUGUUGCUUCCACUGGAUGGAAGUUUCCAUACCUUGCGUGUGAGAAACUUUGGCUUGUGAAUAUUAACACACGCCAGCCAGUGAGAAGACCAUUUAUAAAAACCUGUUAAGAACCAAUUUGUCUGAAUAUUUUGCUCCAAUAAAAUAAAACUUUCAACAACGGAUCUCUAGGCUCUUGCAUCGAUGAAGAACGCAGUGAAAUGCGAUAAGUAAUGUGAAUUGCAGAAUCUCGUGAAUCAUCGAAUCUUUGAACGCACAUUGCGCCCUAUGGUAUUCCAUAGGGCAUGCCUGUCUGAGCGUCAGCUCCCCCAUACUCAAGCGUCCUUUUUAAUGAUGCUUGGAUUGCUUUGGAGAGGUAUCAUGUUAUCAAGAAGCCCUCCAGAAAUUUAUAGGCAGUAUGGUUUGCACCAGAACCAGACGUAAUAAUAAUAAAAUCGUCUGUUUUGGGUCUAAUCAUUGUACUUGCCUUUGAAUCACCCAUGUUGAUUUUUGGGUGACCUCAGAUCAGGUAGGGAUACCCGCUGAACUUAAGCAUAUCAAUAAGCGGAGGAAAAGAAACCAACAGGGAUUGCCCUAGUAACGGCGAGUGAAGCGGCAAAAGCUCAGAUUUGAAAUCUGGUGUCAUUUUGAUGCCCGAGUUGUAGUCUGCAGAGGUGUAUUCGGGUGUGGCUUUGGCUUAAGUUCCUUGGAACAGGACGUCAUAGAGGGUGAGAACCCCGUUAACGGCCUUUGCUCUAUGCUCAUGUGAAUCUCCUUCAACGAGUCGAGUUGUUUGGGAAUGCAGCUCUAAAUGGGUGGUAAAUUCCAUCUAAAGCUAAAUACUGGCAAGAGACCGAUAGCGCACAAGUAGAGUGAUCGAAAGAUGAAAAGAACUCUGAACAGAGAGUUAAAUAGUACGUGAAAUUGUUGAAAGGGAAGCACUUCCGACCAGACGCACUUGCAGCCGAUCAAUCCUCAUUCUUGAGGGUGCACUCGGCUGUUUGUGGGUCAGCAUCAGUCAUGGUGGUAGGAAAAAGACUGAGGGAAUGUGACUCCUCUCGGGGAGUGUUAUAGCCCUUGGUGCAAUGCUGUCUGCUGUGACUGAGGACCGC